AUUGAACGCUGGCGGCAGGCCUAACACAUGCAAGUCAGACGGUAGCACAGAGGAGCUUGCUCCUUGGGUGACGAGUGGCGGACGGGUGAGUAAUGUCUGGGGAUCUGCCCGAUAGAGGGGGAUAACCACUGGAAACGGUGGCUAAUACCGCAUAACGUCGCAAGACCAAAGAGGGGGACCUUCGGGCCUCUCACUAUCGGAUGAACCCAGAUGGGAUUAGCUAGUAGGCGGGGUAAUGGCCCACCUAGGCGACGAUCCCUAGCUGGUCUGAGAGGAUGACCAGCCACACUGGAACUGAGACACGGUCCAGACUCCUACGGGAGGCAGCAGUGGGGAAUAUUGCACAGUGGGCGCAAGCCUGAUGCAGCCAUGCCGCGUGUAUGAAGAAGGCCUUCGGGUUGUAAAGUACUUUCAGCGGGGAGGAAGGCGGUGAGGUUAAUAACCUCACCGAUUGACGUUACCCGCAGAAGAAGCACCGGCUAACUCCGUGCCAGCCGCCGCCGUAACAC
rnacentral:rRNA from 1 species